UACAGAGGUCUCAAGCGUUGUUCGGAAUUACUGGGCGUAAAGGGUGCGCAGGCCGCGCGGGCAGUCAAAUGUGUAAUUCAGAGGCUCAACCUCUGGACUGCGCUUGAUACUUCCGCGCUCGAACCUUGGAGACGGAGUCUGGAAUUCUCGGUGUAGCAGUGAAAUGCGUGGAUAUCGAGAAGAACACUUAGGGCGAAGGCAAGACUCUGGGACAAGUGUUGACGCUCAUGCACGAAGGCUAGGGUAGCGAACGGG
rnacentral:rRNA from 1 species